rnacentral:rRNA from 1 species
CAGUAGCCGCGGUAAUACGUAGGGGGCCAGCGUUGUCCGAAGUUACUGGGCGUAAAGAGCGCGUAGGCGGGUCUUUAAGUGAGGGGUGAAAGGUUCGGGCUCAACCCGGACACUGCCUUUCAUACUGGGGACCUUGAGUGUGGGAGAGGCGAGUGGAAUUCUUGGUGUAGCGGUGAAAUGCGUAGAUAUCAAGAGGAACACCCAUGGCGAAGGCAGCUCGCUGGCCUAUAACUGACGCUGAGGCGCGAAAGCUGGGGGAGCAAACAGGAUUAGAUACCCCCGUAGUCCCUGUCUCUUAUAA